CCUACGGGAGGCAGCAGUAGGGAAUCUUCCACAAUGGGCGAAAGCCUGAUGGAGCAACGCCGCGUGGGUGAAGAAGGUCUUCGGAUCGUAAAACCCUGUUGUUAGAGAAGAAAGUGCGUGAGAGUAACUGUUCACGUUUCGACGGUAUCUAACCAGAAAGCCCCGGCUAACUACGUGCCAGCAGCCGCGGUAAUACGUAGGUGGCAAGCGUUAUCCGGAUUUAUUGGGCGUAAAGGGAACGCAGGCGGUCUUUUAAGUCUGAUGUGAAAGCCUUCGGCUUAACCGGAGUAGUGCAUUGGAAACUGGGAGACUUGAGUGCAGAAGAGGAGAGUGGAACUCCAUGUGUAGCGGUGAAAUGCGUAGAUAUAUGGAAGAACACCAGUGGCGAAAGCGGCUCUCUGGGCUGUAACUGACGCUGAGGUUCGAAAGCGUGGGUAGCAAACAGGAUUAGAUACCCGAGUAGUC
rnacentral:rRNA from 1 species